rnacentral:rRNA from 1 species
GAUGAACGCUGGCGGCGUGCCUAAUACAUGCAAGUCGAGCGAACAGAUGAGGAGCUUGCUCCUCUGACGUUAGCGGCGGACGGGUGAGUAACACGUGGAUAACCUACCUAUAAGACUGGGAUAACUUCGGGAAACCGGAGCUAAUACCGGAUAAUAUAUUGAACCGCAUGGUUCAAUAGUGAAAGACGGUUUUGCUGUCACUUAUAGAUGGAUCCGCGCCGCAUUAGCUAGUUGGUAAGGUAACGGCUUACCAAGGCAACGAUGCGUAGCCGACCUGAGAGGGGGAUCGGCCACACUGGAACUGAGACACGGUCCAGACUCCUACGGGAGGCAGCAGUAGGGAAUCUUCCGCAAUGGGCGAAAGCCUGACGGAGCAACGCCGCGUGAGUGAUGAAGGUCUUCGGAUCGUAAAACUCUGUUAUUAGGGAAGAACAAAUGUGUAAGUAACGAUGCACGUCUUGACGGUACCUAAUCAGAAAGCCACGGCUAACUACGU